AUGAGAAAGCUUAAAGUGGAUUGUUUGAACACUGAAAAAGCAGGUGGUAGGCUCCGUUUGAUCCCGAAUGAGAGACGGGGCUGGCACAGGGCCCCCGGCCAGGAGAGCGGCAGCGAGGCAGGUCCAUGUGCAGGGCCGUGGCAGGAAAAGCAUGACAGGUGGAGUGGCUCCAGUGCUGUGUCAACCUCCUGCCUCUCACAUCAUGAGGCAGACACUUACAGACAGCUCUUCUGUCACAGGGUGACAGAGUGACAGGGUUCUGCUCCUUCACAUUCCCCAGAAUAAGCCUGUGUGUGCAGAACUGGACACCACCCUGCUGUAAAAACUGUGCACCACCAACAUGCCCCUUCCAGAGACAGCCUGAGGAAAGACCCAGUCAGAAAGUUUGCAAGGGGUGGAGAGGACGAGCAGUGGCCGACCUCAGGGCCAGGGGACCUGUUGGAGCUGUGGGUGAGUCAACAAGGAAUGUCGUCCUCAUUUCAUCUGGUAGCAUUUGGUCCAUUUAUUUUAAUUGCAAAUAAAUGCAAAGCAGAAAGAAAGGGUUGUAGUUAU
rnacentral:lncRNA from 1 species